AGCGGUGUCUGGAAUUUUUUUUUUUUUUUUUACUGUGAUUAAUAGCUCAGUUUAUUAGCUGUUUUACUAAAGUACAACUUUAUAGUGAAAAUAAUGUACUAGAAAUAGCUUUCUUUAUGAUACGCUUACAAAAUGUCAGACGCCAGGGAGACUGUCCUCAACAGUGAUGACACAAUGCACACGCUCCCCGUGAGCAAAGCUGAAGGCGGGCUAGGCAGGCUGACCGUGGGAAGCCAGGGAAGCUUGGGGGCCUCCGAGCUCACCCUCCGGAACCAUGAGAGGAGCUUCUCUGUUUCACCAGGCUGAGAUCAAUCAUGCUCCAAUCCCACUUUCCAGCCACCGUGAAGCGCCACAGAGGAAUGGUUUCAACUCUAAGGACCUUCACUCCAGGACCACCUUGCCUUUUUGAUGGCGCUUCAUUCUUGAGUAGGGACUUAUGGUGUCAUCUGUCACAAAGUCAUGCAGUACUCUGAUCCAUGAGUUGUAGUGGGGGAGGUUGUCGUAGUACUCGGCAGCGAUCUUCCUCACCAGUGGAAGGCUUUUUCCGGGAAUGUUGGGGAAGUCAUGGUGCUAGGAGGAACACGAGGGGUGAAUCAACCAUCCAAUUGAUGUGUGUAGGAAAGAAGAAGCUUAAAAGAACCACAAAGUGGAGCAGUACCUCAUCAGAUAUCUCUUGGAAUGGGAAGAAAUCAAGCUCCCAAGAUAGUGUUAGUAUUCAUGAAGUUUAUAUAAACAUCUGGCAAAGCUGUUGGGAUAUGAAAGAACAGACAUGA
rnacentral:lncRNA from 1 species